rnacentral:rRNA from 1 species
UGGGGAAUAUUGCACAAUGGGCGCAAGCCUGAUGCAGCCAUGCCGCGUGUGUGAAGACGGCCUUCGGGUUGUAAAGCACUUUCAGCGGGGAGGAAGGCGGUGAGGUUAAUAACCUCACCGAUUGACGUUACCCGCAGAAGAAGCACCGGCUAACUCCGUGCCAGCAGCCGCGGUAAUACGGAGGGUGCAAGCGUUAAUCGGAAUUACUGGGCGUAAAGCGCACGCAGGCGGUCGGUCAAGUCGGAUGUGAAAUCCCCGGGCUCAACCUGGGAACUGCAUUCGAAACUGGCAGGAUAGAGUCUUGUAGAGGGGGGUAGAAUUCCAGGUGUAGCGGUGAAAUGCGUAGAGAUCUGGAGGAAUACAGGUGGCGAAGGCGGCCCCCUGGACAAAGACUGACGCUCAGGUGCGAAAGCGUGGGGAGCAAACAGG